AUAACCACCUAUAAAGCCUUAAAUGGCCUAGCACCUUCGUAUCUUAAAGAAUUACUAUCAGAAUACAGUCCAUCACAUACACUAUGGUCGCAAGAUUCUGGUCACUUAAUUAUCCCUAAAAAUAUAAAAAAUUGUCUAAAAGUGGUCACUCAUUUUCCUACUUAGCCCCUAAGCUCUGGAAUGAUUUACCAAAAAAAACAACAUUUGAGAAUCUGACACAGUCGACCAAUUUAUGUCUAAACUAAAGACAUUUCUCUUUAAAAAGCAUUCACAUAAUUUGUCUAGUAAGCAGGCAAUAGUUAGCUUAUACGGAACAAAGCAUUCACAUAACUCGUCUGAGUUAUAUACUUAUGCCGCAAUAGUUAGUCUGAAACCGAGCGGAUAUUAAACCAUAUGCAUCACAUGCGAACGGCACCUACGCUAAUAGGAUUUCAUUUCUGUCUCUCCCUGUCUCGUCCUCGAUCCUGAGGACAAAAAGACAAACAGACCCAGUUCCUGCUGACGUGAAGAUCAUCACACUGAUGAUCUACUGGCCUUCCUUCAACGUGAUGCCCAGCCAAUGUCUGAGAAUGACCAUCAGCUGCCCCUGUUUAAUCUACUUAUCUGUGAUAUACAGUUGAAUGCUGUAUUCUGAUUGGAUUGCUGAUAGUCCAGCAGACAGAGAUAAGAGGGCGUAUUAAACUUUGAGUGACAACAAUGACAUCAAGAUCGAUGGGUUGACCCCUGACUUUGAUAUUCUCGAGAGUUCUUCUUCUAAUAAACUACAGUAAAGCACAGGACUACCAUGUCCAUUUAAAAAAUGUAAUGCAGUGCACGGUCCCACUGAAUGAAACUUUAGCAGUGUGAGACUUUAUAUCUUUUCGCCAAAUGUUUAUAGUUUAAACACCUCUACAGAAGGUGAGUGUUGAUGUAUCGGUUACAGUAGGGCACUUGAGGCCUGACAUGAUUAAAUCCACUGUGAUUUCAGUACUAAAUUUCACCAGCUCCUGUUGUGGUCCCAGUGCUGUCAUGAUUGUGUGAAUGCUUAUUUUGGAACUUGGCUAAGGAACAUUGUA